CAGCCAGAAGAGCAGAUCUGAUUUGAGGGCAGCUGGGAAGCCGUCCAAUCUGGAGAGCCUCUACAAUUAGCAAAACAAGGUCUGGAAUUCCUGGACUUCACUCCUUGUUAGCGAGAAAGCGAAACACGUGAUGUUCUGCUUUGCUCUCAGUGUCAAAACCUUGUGCUCAUGGGCCCUGGCGGCUACACAGAAAGCCCUGAGGACUGAAACCCUGCAUGGGUACAUUUUGAUGGGGCAGGAAGAAAAGUUCUGGAGUGUGGAGAGCAGAGGUCCAGAGCAUUCACUGAUUUAGCCACAGAAGAAACAGAUGCGGAAACCGGGGCACAGCAGGCGAAGUGAAACUUCCCAUGUUCCAGCAAAGCCCAGUCCAUAACGUGAGGCUUUGUGAGGUUUGUGUGUGCGACCUUCACCCCUUCACCUGGACCCUCUCUUUGUCCUCCUUUCGCACCCAGUGAUGUGUGGCCUGGAUCACUUCCCUGCCCUCAAGUCUUGCCCUGGCCUGACGUUCAGCGGACCCUCCGUGCAUUAAGGAUGGAGGAUGGUUCCUUGUGCUUCCUCUACCAGGUGCACUUGUAUCUGCUCGGAAUUCUGGAAGAGCAAAGACCCACUGGCCCCACUAAUCCAUCUAUUGAUCCUGCCCCGGUCAGCAGGCUGGGUCUAGCCUCCACACUGCCGCUGCUCAGGGUCUGUGGAGGAAGUCGCUGCAGCCAUUCAGCCAGAUGAAUCGCAAUUAAUAAAUGUGGAACGAAUGAGAGACGAAGACGAUGAGCACCAGAGGACUGCAGGGAGCACGGCUGAGGCAACAUCACCAGAGGAUAGUAAAAUUAGCAGACAGAGAUCUAAGCACAAACAGUGUCUCUGUGUAGCCUUAAAGCAUCUCUUUGAAUAUUUAAUGGUUACAAAGGAAAAACAAUUCAGAAGGGAAUUGGGCCAUUCCUUCUCCAAAGCAGAACGUACUGCAGCUGUGAGAGUUCUAGGAGAAAAUUCAGGUGGAUGCUUCUGUAAUCUUGGAAUGGAGGCUAAGCCUGGCAACAAUGCUAGAAAACAGUGCUGAAGUUUGACAGAUUUAGCCACAUACAAUGGCAAAUGACAAACUGUAAAAGGAAUUCUUGUGAGACAGAGGAAGGAAGGAAGGAAGGAAGGAAGGAAGGAAGGAAGGAAGGUAGGAAGGAAGAAAGGAAGGAAGGAAGGGGCACCCUAAUAGGGCAAACAGUAGUAUAGGUCAGAAAUAACUUUGAAAGAACCACAGGGUGCUGGUGGGCCAAUCAGGGACAGACAGACCCCCUCUUCCAGGGGCUGGGCUGGGCUGGGGUGGGGUCCACAGGUGCAGCCCUGGAGCUGGGCUUGCCUGUCUGCAUCCAAGCAUCCCUGUGCUUUCCCUGUGAGCUGGCAGUCCCCACUAUGAGAUUCUAGCCUGGGAAUGUGCUAUAGGGAAGCUUACAGCAGCAGAUCAUAGAAAAGCAAAAUAGAAAUGUGAAAGGAAAAUAAAAACUUGGGACCCCUACUCCCUCCGCCAAAAGAAAAAAAAAAUGCUGAAAGUGGAGUCAUGCAAGAAGCUGCCUUUCCCUUUGUUCCUAAGCAGAUAGAGACAGAUAAAAGGUUAAAGAUCUCCACUCUGCAUUCACCUUAUCUUGUGUGAAGAGUCGAGUUACUGAGCAUGGGACGAACACAUAACUGACCAUUCCCCUACAUGCUCCUUUUCUUUUGCAACAUUUGGAUUCAGUAAUGUGACCAUACCCUCCCUCUGUCCCCUCCAGCUGGCUUUUUCCUUUAAAUACUGAAGCCCUCGAAAUCAUCUUUGGAGAAAGGCACAGACCUGUCUCCCAAGACGUGUCCUUAAUCUUGGCAAAGUAAACUUCUAAGUUGAUCGAGGCUUGUCUCAGAUAUUUUCAGGUUUACAGAAAGAAAUUCAAUUUCAGUCACAAACGGAAUGAUAAAAUAAGUUGUUACGCAUCCAUAGAAAGAAGAUAUUAACAUGAUGAACUUUCAAAUCAGCUUCUCAAGUGUCAACAUCCUGUUGCGAUUUUCAUUGAUAUUGAACUGAAUUUAUAGAUUUUGUAAGCAGAAAAAAAUUAUUUUAAUUUUUUGAGAAAAAAAGUUUUAAAUGGUUUGUUUUCAGACUGUGUCAAGAUAUCCCUACCUCCGAAGUUGUCAGGUUUGCGGACCUUGGGGUGAAGCGUGGGGCUGCUGGAGGCGUCCAGCCCUGACUGUGUGUCCAGGACAAUGAGCCCCGAAGUGAGCGGGCCGCGUCCUGUUGGCGCAGCCAACUUCACGCCCUCUGUCCAGGGAGGACUAAGGGACAAGCUGCAGCAGGCGCAGAGGACGCUGUUGGUGUCCGGGAGGCCGCUGGUACAGGGCGUUGGGCGUGGCUCCUUUCCAAGUGCCUUGCACUUUCCAGGCUGGGCUGCAGAAGCAGGCUCGGGGGCGACUCGCGUGGGGACUGAAGCAGCCAGCCUUGGCACCUGCCCACAGCAAAUAACUGCCUUGACUUGAUCUGGUUUUUUUGAAGAAAGGUUUAUUCAUACCCAUUAUGUGCGCAUGUGUAAAUUCAAACCCACGGCUUGCCGGAGCCUGGGCUUUCUCGAACAUCAGUUGCUCCCAUGCUACCAUUUUGCAGUUUGCCCGUCUCCAGUAGAUGAUUUCUGAAUAUUUUAAUCAACUCAUUAUUAACCAUUCACACGUCUACCUUAGCCUCAUUUUAAGCAAUUGCACCUGUGGGUUUCACAGGCCUGCUGUAUUUUUAGUACAUAUUAAAUAAAGCAUGUCUGUUGGGGCGUGCUGUGCUUGCCCACCUG
rnacentral:lncRNA from 1 species